UACAGAGGGUGCGAGCGUUAAUCGGAAUUACUGGGCGUAAAGCGUGCGUAGACGGUUAUGUAAGUCAGAUGUGAAAGCCCCGGGCUUAACCUGGGAAUGGCAUUUGAGACUGCAUAGCUAGGAUGCGGAAGAGGGCAGUGGAAUUUCCGGUGUAGCGGUGAAAUGCGUAGAUAUCGGAAGGAACAUCAGUGGCGAAAGCGACUGCCUGGUCCAGCAUCGACGUUCAGGCACGAAAGCGUGGGGAGCAAACAGG
rnacentral:rRNA from 1 species